rnacentral:rRNA from 1 species
UACAGAGGCCUCGAGCGUUAGGCGGAAUCACUGGGCUUAAAGCGUGUGUAGGUGGAUGCCUAAGUGCCUUGUGAAAUCCCACGGCUUAACCGUGGAAUUGCUGGGCAUACUGGGGUGUCUUGAGCCACUCAGGGGCUACCGGAACAAAUGGUGGAGCGGUGAAAUGCGUAGAUAUCAGGAGGAACACCGGUGGCGAAGGCGGUUCUCUGGGCCUUACCUGACGCUGAGGAGCGAAAGCGUGGGGGAGCAAACAGG